rnacentral:lncRNA from 1 species
AUUUGUCCGUAUAUGCCACAUGAAAGUAGUGUGCCAUGCCCGGAUAGACAACUGAUGUUGGCUUCGAUAUACUCUCAUGCCUAUCUGAGACAACACACAUUGAAGGUCUUUCACCAUAUGCCUCCUUGAAUUGUUCAAAGAACCACUUCCAAGACGCGUCGUUUUCAGAAUCAACAACAACAUGUGCCAAGGGCAAGAU